CCUACGGUAGGCAGCAGUGAGGAAUAUUGGUCAAUGGGCGCGAGCCUGAACCAGCCAAGUAGCGUGAAGGAUGACUGCCCUACGGGUUGUAAACUUCUUUUAUAAGGGAAUAAAGUGAAGCAUGUAUACCGUUUUGUAUGUACUUUAUGAAUAAGGAUCGGCUAACUCCGUGCCAGCAGCCGCGGUAAUACGGAGGAUCCGAGCGUUAUCCGGAUUUAUUGGGUUUAAAGGGAGCGUAGGUGGGUUGUUAAGUCAGUUGUGAAAGUUUGCGGCUCAACCGUAAAAUUGCAAUUGAUACUGGCAGUCUUGAGUACAGUAGAGGUAGGCGGAAUUCGUGGUGUAGCGGUGAAAUGCUUAGAUAUCACGAAGAACUCCGAUUGCGAAGGCAGCUUACUAAACUGCCACUGACAUUGAUGCUCGAAAGUGUGGGUAUCAAACAGGAUUAGAUACCCGGGUAGUC
rnacentral:rRNA from 1 species